rnacentral:tRNA from 1 species
GGGGUUGUGGCUCAGCGGUACAGCGCUCGCCUAUCAAGUGUGGGGGCCCUGGGUUCGAUCCUCAGCACCACA